CAGGCGACGCGAAGCAAAUACGGGGUGGGUUUGGGGAGGCGGGGGGAGAACGAGACCGCACCGCAGGAUCGCUACCCGAAAUAAAAGGCAAGCGGAAAAGAGCAAAGGUCACGGCAGCGAGCAAGCAGUUUGGCUGGGCGACUGCCCCGAUCCCACGCGUCGGAACCGCAAGAAGCUUAAAGAGAAAGACCAACAAUCUCUAAGAAGAAGUCUCCCCUGUUCACGGAGACCUUCCAUACAGUUUUUAAUCUAUCUGGAAUAAAAGGCUAAAGAAAGCUGUAGGUGUGGAGAGACAUAGUGUUUUGGAGGUCUGGAGAACAUGGAGGAAGCAGGUCAAGAUGGGAAGUCUCAAAAACAUUCCAGAAGGAAAAAGAAAGUGGCAAAGUGUUUCUGUACAGUUGCAUGAAAAACUUCAAAGACAGCUCUCCAUGAAGACAGCAAGAGAUUAACUUGAUUCAAAGGAGACUUGGACAAAAAUUUUUAUCUUCACAACUGAAAAGAAUAAAAGAUUAAACCAUAAACCAUAAUCCAGACCACAUCAUGGAGCAGAAUGGAAGGAACAUUGUCUAUUGGGUCAUAUGAAAAUUCAGUUGAGACUACAUGUUAAAAUGUAUUUAUAUUAUUCUUUAAUAUGAGUAAGAUAGUUUGCACAGCAAAAGAAAAACAAAACAGCUUUCUACUGCUCUACCUAAAACUACAGUGAAUGAUCUAAUGUCGUGAGUGCAAGGCAAGAAUAUACUUUAGUCUUUGUAAUAUAAUGUCUUUCAGUUGCAUUAGGAUCACAAGACUCAGAAUUGAUAGCCAGCAUGAUAUUCUAUAAUCCUAACUCAUUUGAAAAAUAUCAGGUUGGGGAAGGGAUUAAUGUAAUUGGAAUUGUGGUGCUCAUAUACUACCCUCAAAUGUUACAUUUACAUUAAGCCUAUUUCACACAAGUGCUUAACUCUAACCAGAUCAAUAAUCAAUAAGAUAACAGAGAAAGCUGCCUGUUGAUAGCAGGACUUUUAGUGUUUCCAAGCAAAAGGAAUUGGUCGGUUAUUCCAUUUUCUUGGGUAAGCAUAGGAGGAUAAGUAACUAAUAGCAGCAGUUUUUGGGGUUAUUUAUAAAAAUUCUUCUAAAUUAGGUGAUGAAUGUAACAAACAUUUUGCACUGAAAUAUUAUUUACCACUAUUUACAUGCUAGUGAUACUUAUAAUUUUAUUUUUAUAUAUAUUCCGCCUUUAUUAUUUUUACAAGUAAUAAAGUGAACCUAUCCAAUGUACUCUUCUCUUCCUAUUUUCCCCACAACAGCCUUGUGAGGUAUGUUGGGCUGAAAGUGAGAGACUGGCCCAAUAUCAUCCAGCUGACUUUCAUGGCUAAGAUGGCUAAGAUGGGACUAGAACAGGGGUGUCAAACACAAGGCCCAUGGGAUACUUAGAUCUGGACCACAGGCCCACACUGGAAACAGGGAAGGAUUGGCCUGUGGUGUCUCUGCCAAUGAAAAUGGAGCUUGGGACUCAGCUCCGUUUUCAGCCAUGACAGAUUCCUGCAGCCCUCUGCCAGCAAAAACGGAGGUCAGGGAGGCCGUGUGCGGCACGCCCAGGCUCUGUUUUCAGCCACGAUGGCCUCCUGCAGCUCUCCAUUUUCUGUUUUUGCUGGCAGAGGGUUGCAGGAGAUCAUCACUGCCAAAAACAGAGCCUGGGCAGGCCUUCACACCUGAAAACAGAUUCUUGAUGAGUGAUGUCAAUCUGGCCAUGCCCCCCAGCCACGCCCUCCCUGGCCCCCAAAGGUCAAACACAACCCUGAUGCAGCCCUCAAUGAAAACAAGUUUGACACCCCUGGACUAGAACUCACCUGGUGCCUUAACCACCAGACCAAACUGACUCUCAAUUAUUUUAUAUUGAAUUUAUUAUAUAUAUAUAUAUAUAUUAUUUAUUAUAUUGCAUAAAUAAUUUAUAUUUAUUGAAAUAUUCUUUAAUAAUAAUUGAAAUACCCUAUCUAUUAUUAAAAGUUUAUUUCCCUUGGGUGAAUUAAAUAAAUCUUAUA